GACGAACGCUGGCGGCGCGCUUAACACAUGCGAGUCGAACGGAGAGGCCUGCUUUCCCUUGUGGAUUGCGGGUACUCGAGUGGCGAACGGGUGAGUAACACGUGAGUGAUCUGCCCCCAACUUGGGUAUAAGCCUGGGAAACUGGGUCUAAUUCCCGAUAGGACUGCAGGGUGGUGCCUGUGGUGGAAAACGAUUUUCUAGUGGUUGGGGAUGAGCUCGCGGCCUAUCAGCUUGUUGGUGGGGUAAUGGCCUACCAAGGCGGCGACGGGUAGCCGGCCUGGGGGGGUGGGCCGGCACAUUUGGAAUGAGGUACCGCCCCGGACCCUACGGGGAGCAGGAGUUGGGAAUAUUGCACAAUGGGCGGAAGCCUGAUGCAGCGACGCCGCGUGGGGGAUGACGGCCUUCGGGUUGUAAACUCCUUUCGACCGCGAGGAAGCCACCUGGUUGGAAGGGUGGUGACGGUAGUGGUAGAAGAAGCACCGGCUAACUACGUG
rnacentral:rRNA from 1 species